GAUUAGAGCUGGAACAAUAGCUCCAUUUUAUUAAUAAUGGGAAGGAUUUACGAUUCUACAGCACCUUCCUUGGAAGGCUUUCAAAACCAUUUGCAAACUCUCACAAAUGUAAGCUUUCACAGCCCUGCCUGUGAGGUGGGGAAAUGCAGGAUUGUUUGUGUAACUCCCACUCUACAGCAGAUAGCUUCUCUGUCACCAUGACUUCAAUGUGCACAGUCCAAGCAGUCACUUGUGAGCAAGGAGAGCAGGUAUUGGCACCUCCUCAUUAGCCUUCAUCAAUGAGAAUAUUGGCUAUGGUGUUGCGUGAGUGCCACUGGCUGACCAAUGGAGGGGCCCUGCCCUCCUAAGCUGGAGCAACACUUUCUGAGUGGUGAUUUCAUUGCCUGGUUGCUGCAGUGAUUUGGAGCACAGCUGUGACGUUAUGCUUUUUCUGGCAAAAAUUUAGCUGAGGGCCACUGUACCCUGUGGGAAUUGUACUACUUUUCUGUGGCAGUUUGGGAUAACUGAGGGCUCCCUUGGGAGUGUUGGACUUCUACCGCCACACGCUUUGGAUUGAAGAGUUACCAGAACGACAUCUGUGAGGUUUCCAAGCUAAACAAAACCUGAAUUUCUGGUGCAAAAAGCAAGUGAAUGAUAGAAACCUCUGCUCCUCUUCCAGCGGGGGGACACUGCAGCCUUUUAAGCUUUCCUAUUAUGCCAAAGAGGUAAAAAAGCAUAAGCGUGCAUUGUGUUAUGCAGUGCUAUUGGUGAUAUAAAAUGAAAGCCAAAGCUAGCCAAGAAACUGUUCUCCUUUCAAAUACAUCUCCACGCACAAGUACUUUUCUUCUUUGCCUUUCCCUGAAGUGAGAGAGCAAUAAGGGCACAAGCGUGCGCUCAGUCUGCUUCAUUUAGAACACAGUGAAGUGACUUCGGUGCCAACAUGAUGAAUCAAAAGCAUUGAAGAUAGCUGGCUUGCUAUUUAUUUUGCUCUGGGCAUGACAAUCAGAUGUGAUUGGGGAUGUGAAGAAGAACAGCCUUCAACUCACGGAGUUGCACUGUUUUAAACCCUUGUCCUGUGACUUCUCCAGCGUGAUUUCUGUCAUUCCUGCUGGGCAUUGCACGUGGGCCUUUUCAUGGAGAGGUAACGCACUGCAGCUGUGUGUUAAACAUGGCAACAUACAGGAUACAGUGAUCUCUCCACUCCCAGGAGCCUGGAAGACUGAAGCCCUCUGCCUAGAGGAUGAAAUGCUUCAUGUUUGGAAAAAAAAACUAGCAGGCUUUGUCUGUGACAGCUCCUUUCCUGUGGAUGUCCUUCCAGCCAGGCUGCCCGCAGUGUGACAGCAGUGACCCUGUGUGAGGUUUCUUUGAAGGACCUGGGAGACUGCGUGGCUUUUUCUUGUCCCUCGGAGGUGCUUCCCUGGCAGGGAGGGAGGAAAAUGAUUGGCAGUGCUGUCACAGGAGGCAUGCUUACCUGGCUAGGGGAAAGCUUGGUGUGGAAAAGCCAGCUGGUGCAUGGUUUGGGGAAGGAGAGGUUCCUUUCUCUCCAGAAUGGAAUCCCUUAAGGAAGGUAUAGACAAGCAGUUCCUGCUCCUGGGGCUUCUGGCUGGUUAAAACAAAGAGCUGAGCCCAUUUCCAUGGAGAAAUGUAUGAUAGAGCACGUUGCAGUGCUUUUCCUUGCGUGUGCGUGGCUUGGUCACACGUUUAACUAAUAGAUGGUUUGCAU
rnacentral:lncRNA from 7 species